rnacentral:tRNA from 5 species
GCCCGAGUGGCGGAAUGGUAGACGCAGAGGAUUCAAAAUCCUCCGCCGCAAGGCUUGCGAGUUCGAGUCUCGCCUCGGGCACCA